AGGCCGAGUUGCCAGUGGGCACUCCACUCUCCUCCCCUCGCCCUGCCCUGUGGUUGGCUAUUUUGGGCUGCAGAGGGAAAGGGCCGAGCUUGCCAGGGCCUCCCGGGCCAGAAUCAAGGCUAGGGAACCAGAACCUCCCUCUGGGAACCAAGAGCGGGCUGCUCAUCAGGAACCCCUCCAACUGCAUAUUCUCUGAUACAAACAACUGAGAUUUUCCCUUAUGCGGGGAGAAAAAAAAAAAGUUUAGAAAACUGUAAAUAUCACCAGAUCAAAAGGGCAAUGGAUAUAAAAACAGUAGCUUUAAGAAAAGCUCCCCUAGGUUCCUUCUAGUCUCAUGACUACCCCUAGCAGUCCCCACCUCUUUAGGAAUUCUGGGCUGCCACUGCCCCAGAUCAGCUUCCGCCUUCCCCUCCUAAUACAGCUUUUCUUUCAGGGGUAAUCACAGCCACCAUUAUUAGCAUUUGCUCUGUUCCAGGCACUGGGCAAAAGGCCUUACCUACAUCAACUCUCUCCAUCUUUCAAACAACUCUGUGAGGUUCUCAGGAAAUGUUAGCUGUGACGCACACCUACCAAACUACUGCUGCAUCAAGCCCCUAACCACUCUCCCCAAACCACACCUGGUCCUCUCUCGCUCUUGUCUCAGCCUACAAUGACUUUGUGCUGCUGGUAGACUCCUGUUUGUUCCAGAAAGCCACCCCUCACCUGUCUCCUUCUCUGUGAAGGAGACUGUCCAAACAGAACCCGCUGCUUCAUCCUCUCAGCUUCUCUGACGCCUGCAGAUGCCUCAGCUACAGCCCACCCCUAGGCCAUCAAGAGGCCAAAUUUGCCCGCAUACCCAUCUUCCCCUAUUGUCUGAAGGCUAUUCUACUUCUCUCUGCAUCCCCAAUGCCUAAGAGGCCCAGCAGGUGUGUGCCGAACUAAGGAGAGAGUACGUCUGAGGAUGGGAGCGUGAG